GGGGGUAUAGCUCAGUGGUAGAGUGCGUCCUCGGUGUGCACAAGGUCCUGGGUUCAAUCUCUUGUGCUUCCA
rnacentral:tRNA from 1 species